rnacentral:rRNA from 1 species
UACGUAGGUGGCAAGCGUUGUCCGGAUUUACUGGGCGUAAAGAGCGCGCAGGCGGUCGCUCAAGUCGCGUGUGAAAGCCCCCGGCUCAACUGGGGAGGGUCACGCGAUACUGAUCGACUCGAAGGCAGGAGAGGGUAGUGGAAUUCCCGGUGUAGUGGUGAAAUGCGUAGAGAUCGGGAGGAACACCCGUGGCGAAGGCGGCCGACUGGGCCGGACCUGACGCUGAGGCGCGAAGGCGUGGGGAGCGAACGGG